AAAUAAUGACGAAUAAGCAGGUCAAGACUUGCUUGUAAAUUCCUGUUUUGAUGCUUCCAUUUGAGGUCAUUUUUAAGUUAGAAAAGGCUUGGGGUGAGGUGGAAAGAGAGAGAAAGAGAACAGAGUGGCAGAGCAGGAAACUAGAAUGAGACAGAAAAUAAGCAAAGUCAGUGGUUCUUAGGCUUCCAGCCCACCAGAGGAAUUUUCCGGUAGGUGUUUGACACACAUGCAGAGCACAAAUGUCAAACUUCUAGGAAUUUUGAAAUUCAAAUGUCAAGAGUUUAAGAAAUUUUAAUAACAUUUCAAAAAUACCUGAGAAAUUAGAACAUAUAGCAGAACACUAUAUACUCAGCAUUUAUCUGCAGUGGAUUUGAUAAUUUAAGAACUAUUAACAUUUUACCAUAUUGACCCGAAAAAAGGCUCAUAUGUAUAUACAGUUCCUUUUCCUCAAAAAAGGGCCAUGGCCCCGGGAAAAUUGUUUUGAUUUCAACCUCCACUACCUGACUCGUUUUUAGAGGCCCUCCUAAAAUCCUAUGGGUCUGCCAGAGUCAAGGAUCGUAAAUAGGUUUUACCUAACUUGUCAACUCUGAUCAGCUGGCUGGAAGAUUCACCCUUGAAUCCAGGCACAGAGAGAGUGUGGCGCAGGAGAGGGAGUUGGGGAAACUGAGAACUGUCCCUCCUCACAGCUCCACCUCACUAAAUCGGCUCUCUGUGCACUGUGGGACGUGCCAGUGUUCAGUCCAGCAGCAAGAAAAGCUUCCCUCCCUGCGGCUGUAAGAGACUGCAUCAUUGUAAUGCUGUGUUCGCAUCACUAAAAACGUUGAGCUGCACUACAUUCUGGGAGACCCCCGUAAUUCGUGCCUUAAAAAAAUGAGUUGUCCUUCUCUGGUUGGACUCCCUCUGCAGAAAAUUCUACCUCUAACCACUGGCCUGAUUUCCAUGUAGUUCCUCCCUGGAAAGUGUGCAGAAGUCCCCAUGGGAAGAAAUCUUUCUUCAGUUCUGAGCAUGGAGGAGAUAUGAAAUUAGCCAGGAAUGUUGUGUAUGACAGUAAAGAACAUGAAUAAGUGGUUCCCGAACCUGGACAGAAAGAAAUGGUGCUACAUAGUAUGAAAAAUCUUCACAUGCACUGAUAGGAUCAUAAACAAAUAGGUACGUACAUCUUCUUUUCUCAUUAUUGGUUCUAAAUCUUGGUGGAUAAAUCACAAUACCUCACAUGGGUCCAUGAGUUGUAUAAUAUGUUUUUCAUAUAAUUAUUUAUAUAAACGAGGGCCCAGCAAAAAUAUUUUCAGAGUAACGUACACCCUAGGGGUUUCCCUGGAGAAAAGCAUUUGCUCAUAGAAAUAAGCCCCCUCUCCUCCCAUCUUACCUCUAUCAGUAACAGAGGUGCUAUUUUGGCCACUGUCUGCCACUCUUUUAUCUUACUCCUCAAUUUGUUUUGAAUUUGGGAAAGGUAAGGGGGGUGCUAUUUAUUCAAAAUUUCUCCAAGUUUCUAAUAGUAAGCAUCAAAGUUAUCAUCAUGUUUUAAGCAUUUGGGUUACAUUUUUUAAUACAUUGAGGUAUAAUUGACGUAUAACAUUAUGUGUAUGUUAUAUGUGUAACUACAUGUUGUGUAGUUUCACCUACACAAUGUAAUGAUUUAGUAUUUGCAUAUAUUGCAAAAAUGAUCACCACAAUAAGUCUAGUUAACAUCCAUCAUCAUAUACAUACUUAAAAUUUUUUUUUCCUUGUAAUAGGGAUUCCUAAGGUUUGCAAAUAUUUUCCCCCAUUCAGUGUGCUCUCUUUUCAUUUUGUUGAAAAUUUCCUUUGCUGUGCAGAGCAUUUUUGGUUUGAUACAGUCCCACUUGUUUAUUUUUGCUUUUGGAGUCAAAUAAAAAAAAAAA
rnacentral:lncRNA from 1 species